rnacentral:lncRNA from 1 species
UGGGAGAUUGGGAUGGCCAACAAAAAACCCUAACCUGCAAGAUUGGGAACUAUUCGCUCGAGCCGUCACCACGACCUGCCCCAAGUGCUCCUGCGAUGCUGUGCCAGCACCGCAGCCGCUGGACGAGCCAGCCGGAUGCCGCACCUUGAUUCCUGACGCCGCUGGUUGCCGCGUGCUGCCGCAAAUCGUCGCCGUCCGCCCUCCGGCCUCCAGCGUCCAACUCCGGGAUCCGGCAGCAGGUAACCUACAAGCUCUUCUCUACCUUCCAGCGUCUUCCCUCUUCUCUACACCUCCAUAUCCCCUCUACUUCUGUUUUUUUCUUCUCUGAGCCUUUGCGCCUGUGCGUGUGCUGAUGCCCAAUGCUUCUGUUUUAGAAGCAUGGCAUGUACUGGAGGGGGCAGUGGCACUGGCAUGGCUGUUUUAGGAGGCAUGUAUGGUAUUGGAGGCACAGGCAGUAGGAACGCAACAAAUGGGGCAGUAUCUUCUCUUACUAUUUUUGUUUGUUUAAUUGUUUA